rnacentral:tRNA from 1 species
AAUUUAAAUAGUUUAAGAAAAAUAUUGAUUUGUGGUGUCAAUGAUGAGAGAUAUUCUCUUUAAAUC